rnacentral:other from 1 species
GCGGGGCUGCCCGGUGCGUCAGGCACGACAUCCCCUGGGCCAUUGUCCUUCCGAUUGGGAGCUGUCCCUGUCGCGGUCGUGGCCGCGAUACAUGGCGCCCACCUGCGUUGAGCAGGCCUCGGCAGGAUGCAUCGCCAACGGCCAGGGUGGCUCCGCG